rnacentral:rRNA from 1 species
AGAGUUUGAUCCUGGCUCAGGAUGAACGCUAGCGGCAGGGGGGGGGACAUGCAAGUCGUGGGGCAGCAGGUGUAGCAAUACAUGCUGGCGACCGGCAAACGGGUGCGGAACACGUACGCAACCUUCCUUUAAGUGGGGGAUAGCCCAGAGAAAUUUGGAUUAAUACCCCGUAAUAUUAUGAAGUGGCAUCACUUUAUAAUUAUAGCUUCGGCGCUUAAAGAUGGGCGUGCGGCUGAUUAGGUAGUUGGCGGGGUAACGGCCCACCAAGCCUUCGAUCAGUAACUGGUGUGAGAGCACGACCAGUCACACGGGCACUGAGACACGGGCCCGACUCCUACGGGAGGCAGCAGUAAGGAAUAUUGGUCAAUGGGCGAAAGCCUGAACCAGCCAUGCCGCGUGGAGGAUGAAGGCCCUCUGGGUUGUAAA